CCGGACAGUCGCGCUCCCGCCGGGGGUGAGGAAAGUCCGGGCUUCGCAGAGCAGGAUAACGGCUAACGGCCGCCGAGGGUGACCUCAGGGAAAGUGCAACAGAGAUAUACCGCCGUACUUGUACGGUAAGGGUGGAAAGGCGAGGUAAGAGCUCACCGGCGUCCCGGAGACGGAGGCGCCCUGUAAACCCUAUCCGAAGCAACGCUGACAGGAGUGGUCUGCUCGGCCAUAACUCCGAAAAGCGGCGUGAACGGCAGGGCAACCUGUCGUCAAGACAGAUGACUGUCUUCAAUGACAAAACCCGGCUUACAGGA
rnacentral:RNase_P_RNA from 1 species